rnacentral:rRNA from 1 species
UACGUAGGGUGCAAGCGUUGUCCGGAAUUAUUGGGCGUAAAGAGCUCGUAGGCGGCUUGUCGCGUCGGCUGUGAAAACCUGGGGCUCAACCCCGGGUCUGCAGCCGAUACGGGCAAGCUAGAAUUCGGUAGGGGAGACUGGAAUUCCUGGUGUAGCGGUGAAAUGCGCAGAUAUCAGGAGGAACACCGGUGGCGAAGGCGGGUCUCUGGGCCGAUAUUGACGCUGAGGAGCGAAAGCGUGGGGAGCAAACAGG